GAUGGACGCUGGCGGCGUGCUUAACACAUGCAAGUCGAACGGAAAGGCCCAAGCUUGCUUGGGUACUCGAGUGGCGAACGGGUGAGUAACACGUGGGUGAUCUGCCCUGCACUUCGGGAUAAGCCUGGGAAACUGGGUCUAAUACCGGAUAGGACCACUUCUUGGAUGUUGUGGUGGAAAGUUUUUUCGGUGUGGGAUGAGCUCGCGGCCUAUCAGCUUGUUGGUGGGGUAAUGGCCUACCAAGGCGUCGACGGGUAGCCGGCCUGAGAGGGUGUACGGCCACAUUGGGACUGAGAUACGGCCCAGACUCCUACGGGAGGCAGCAGUGGGGAAUAUUGCACAAUGGGCGCAAGCCUGAUGCAGCGACGCCGCGUGGGGGAUGACGGCCUUCGGGUUGUAAACUCCUUUCGCUAGGGACGAAGCGUUUUGUGACGGUACCUGGAGAAGAAGCACCGGCUAACUACGUG
rnacentral:rRNA from 1 species